UACGUAGGUGGCAAGCGUUGUCCGGAAUUACUGGGUGUAAAGGGAGCGCAGGCGGGAAGCCAAGUCAGCUGUGAAAACUACGGGCUUAACUUGUAGACUGCAGUUGAAACUGGUUUUCUUGAGUGAAGUAGAGGUUGGCGGAAUUCCGAGUGUAGCGGUGAAAUGCGUAGAUAUAUGGAGGAACACCGGUGGCGAAAGCGGCUCUCUGGCCUGUAACUGACACUGAGGCUCGAAAGCGUGGGGAGCAAACAGG
rnacentral:rRNA from 1 species